rnacentral:rRNA from 1 species
UACGUAGGGUGCGAGCGUUAAUCGGAAUUACUGGGCGUAAAGCGUGCGCAGGCGGUUCUGCAAGUCAGAUGUGAAAUCCCCGGGCUUAACCUGGGAACUGCGUUUGAAACUACGGAGCUAGAGUGCGGCAGAGGGGGGUGGAAUUCCACGUAUAGCAGUGAAAUGCGUAGAUAUGUGGAGGAACACCGAUGGCGAAGGCAGCCCCCUGGGCCGACACUGACGCUCAGGCACGAAAGCGUGGGGAGCAAACAGG